rnacentral:rRNA from 1 species
GACGUAGGGCGCGAGCGUUGUCCGGAUUUAUUGGGCGUAAAGAGCUCGUAGGCGGCUCGUUGCGUCGGCUGUGAAAACCCGCAGCUCAACUGUGGGCUUGCAGCCGAUACGGGCGGGCUGGAGUUCGGUAGGGGAGAUCGGAAUUCCUGGUGUAGCGGUGAAAUGCGCAGAUAUCAGGAGGAACACCGGUGGCGAAGGCGCUGCUCUGGGCCGGUACUGACGCUGAGGAGCGAAAGCGUGGGUAGCAAACAGG